CCUACGGGGGGCAGCAGUAGGGAAUAUUGCUCAAUGGGGGAAACCCUGAACCAGCAACGCCGCGUGGAGGAUGACGGUUUUAGGAUUUUUAACUCCUUUUGUUAGAGAAGAUAAUGACGGUAUCUAACGAAUAAGCACCGGCUUACUCCGGGCCAGCAGCCGCGGUAAUACGGAGGGUGCAAGCGUUACUCGGAAUCACUGGGCGUAAAGAGCGCGUAGGCGGGAUAGCAAGUCAGAUGUUAAAUCCUAUGGCUUAACCUUAGAACUGCAAUUGAAACUGUUAGUCUAGAGUAUGGGAGAGGUAGGGGGAAUUCGUGGUGUAGGGGUAAAAUGCGUAGAGAUCAAGAAGAAUACUGAUUGCGAAGGCGACCUGCUAGAACAUAACUGACGCUGAUGCGCGAAAGCGUGGGGAGCAAACAGGAUUAGAUACCCGAGUAGUC
rnacentral:rRNA from 1 species